rnacentral:rRNA from 1 species
UACGGAGGGUGCGAGCGUUGUCCGGAAUCAUUGGGCGUAAAGGGCGCGUAGGUGGCCCGGUCAGUUCGUGGUGAAAGCGCGGGGCUCAACCCUGCGUCGGCCAUGAAUACUGCCGCGGCUGGAGCACUGUAGAGGCAGGCGGAAUUCCGGGUGUAGCGGUGGAAUGCGUAGAGAUCCGGAAGAACACCAGUGGCGAAGGCGGCCCGCUGGGCAGUGGCUGACGCUGAGGCGCGACAGCGUGGGGGAGCAAACAGG